UAUACAGAGUAAUAUUAAAUUAUUUGCCGAUGAUACAUCCUUAUAUGUGAUAAUUGAUGACCCUAUAGUAUCUUCCAAUAUGUUAAACGAUGAUUUAGAAAUAAUAGCUAAAUGGGCCCAGACAUGGAGAGUAAAACUGAAUCUAUCAUUUUUUCUAGAAAAAAAACAGUAACAUCAAUGCCAGAUCUUAUAAUGAAUGAUAUACCGAUAAAGUCUGUUGACACUCAUAAACAUCUGGGGCUGACUUUACAAAGUGAUGGCCACUGGAAUAUACAUAUAGAUGAUACUAUUUCUAAAGUCAGUGCUAUGAUCAAUUGUUUAAGAAACCAAUAUACUUUGUUUAUU